GGUUGAUUGACGUUUCUCCCCCUAGGUGGCAGUGUUUGUCCACAUCCUGACCUUCAGGAAGGAAGCCUGCCUGGAUCGCCUCCUUUGCGUCAGAUACUGACCUAGGUGCUGAGGACUCCCACAGAUUGAAAAGAUGUGUUCCGGUGCAUUGGUUACAGCUGAGUGAAUCAACUGUUAUUGUAAAACGUAAAAAAUACCUUGUCCACGAAAGAGAUGAAGUCCUGGGGAUUAGGGAACAAAGAGGAGGGUUGCCGGGACAGUAGGGCUCUCUAGUAGCAAGCAAGAUGGGAUUGAGGCAGGGGGCUCCGGUAAAGGACAGUGGGUACAUCCCCAUAUCAAAAAAUAGCCUUGAGCUAAGCAAAGGAUUUGGGACACAUUCUAGAAUGUAUGGUGCACCCUUAUGUACCAGGGUUCUUUGUUCUGAGCAGUAGAAGCUGACUCUGGAUGAGUAAGCGGGGGAAAAAGAACAUAUUAAAAUGAUACUAGGGAGCUCAGGGAAUCAGGGGAGGCCUGGAGAAGCGGCUCCUGGCUAAGCUUCCAGGAAUGACACUCAGAAUGAUGCUGAAGAACUGGCCCGACGAGGAAACGUCCAUGACUGGGAUCACUGCUGCCACCCCACCCCGCACCGCACCGGAGGAAACUGCCGUCACCCCUGGGGAAUGGCUGCCUCCUUCAGAAGCCGCAUGCUCGUGCAGCCUCCUGCACCAACAAAAUGCCAAGCUUCCAAGAGAGCCUGUUUCCUCACCUGGCUCACGUCUGCCUCCCAGGUUCACAGGGGCAUAUGUGACUGAGGAAGACCAAGUCCCAUGCCUGAGUCCUGGCUGCGAAGGAGAUUGGAAUUAGGGGUGCAGACUUCUUUCAGGGAGGCAGAACUUGAUUGGAAUUUCCCCAAAUACAGGAAGACUGUUUAAAAGAUGAUAGGAAGCCAUGAGUCUGGCAGAUGGACACACUAGAAGGAGCAUGGGUCAGAUGUGAAAUGCCAUCCUAUGACAGGUAGAUACAUUGGCGGGGGGAGGGUAUAGUAGGACAAGGUUCCUCAACCUCAGCACUACUGGCAUUUGAGACCUCUGAAGUCUUGUGGAGGACGACCCUGCACCUGGAUGUUUAGCAGCAUCUCUGGUCUCUAUUCAUAAAAUGCCUGUAGAACCCCGCCUCCCCCAGUUGUGAGAAACAAAGGUGUCUCCAAACUUGGCCAAAUAUCCCCUAGGAAGCAAAGUUGCCAUGAGAACCACUGGAUUGGAGGCCAGCUCAAUUAGGAGGUUCUUUUGGUAACAGAAAAAAAGGAAUAAGUGGAAUGGCAGUGGGAAUGGAGACAAUGGGAUGGGCAGAGUUAGAAAUAGAACUUGGAAAAUUACUACAUUUGGAGGCUUAGUUAGGAUAUAGCUUCAACUGCUCUAACAGAGAUCUGAAAUAAUAGUGGCCUGGACAAAUGUCUGUUUAUUUUUUCUGAAAUAACAUUCUUGGAGAAAGCAGUGCAAGGCUAAUGUGGUAGCCCUGGAGACCAUCUACCACAGACCACCUCUUAAAUUCUAUGUAAACAUGGAUAAGUUCCUAUCUGUAAAAAUGAAAAAAAGUAACAAAAAUAUAUCAGACUGGUGUGUUGUAAAGGUCCAGUGAGAUAUCAAACACCUUUUGUUUUAAGCUACUGAGUUUGUUACAACAAUAACAAGAAACUAAUGCACCUGGUAUCCUUAUCUCAAUCUUUUGCCCAGGAGGGUGUAAACCCCCAGGAUGGCAGAAGCAAUCCAACCAGAGGAGGGCACAAGGGUCUAGAAAAGAACCAGACUGUUCCCAAGGCACUGCCAGGAUUUAAGGUACUCUGGAGGGCUCUCCUCCAACACCUUAGGGGUCCAUAAGCAUGUUAAAGCCCCUCCUCUCAACCAUCUCUCUCCUUGAAUUUAUUUUCUUUUGCAUGAUGUCACCUUAAUGUCUGCAAGCAACAGGCACUGCAGCCUUCAAAGAGUUUAGAAAUUUACAUUUCUCUUUUGUAGCAUUUUAUAGAAUACUACAAAGGGAUGAUGUCACUCUUCUGUGGGACUCCCCAUUCAUUGGCUCCCUGUAGGCUUUUUUAAAAUAAACAUUUUAUUUUAGGACAGUUUCUAGAUUUAGAGAAUUAUUAUAAAGGCUUAUAUACCACAUACCCAAUUUUUCCUAUUAACAUCUUAUAUUAGUGUGGUACAUUUGUUGCCAGUAAUGAACAAAUAUUGAUACAUUUUUACUAACUAAAGUUUAUACUUCAUUCAGAUUUUCUUAGUUUUUACCUAAUGUUCUUGUUAGGACACCACAUUACAUUUAGUUGUCGUGGCUCCUUGGGCUCCUCUUGGUUGUGACAGCUUCUCAGACGUUCCUUGUAUUUUCUGACCCUGACAGUUUUGAGGAUCCCUGGUCAGAUAUUUUGGGAGGACAACCCCUUAUGCUAGAGUGCCAUUCUCAUCACAUCAUAUCAACAGUACAUUCUAUCAGCCUGUCUUCUCCAUCGGCGCUGACCCUGAUCGCUUGGCUUCUCCACUGUCAACUUGCUCCUUUUUUCCUCCUUUUAAUAUUGCAGUCAUUGGGAAAAAGUCACCAUGUGCAGCCCCCACUUAAAGAGUGGGGGUUAUGCUCCACCUCCUCAGGGGUGAAGCAUCUACAUAAAUUAUUUGAAUUUCUUCUGCGCAAGAUGUUUGCCUAUUCUCUAUUUACCCAACCAUUUGUUUAUAUCACUUUGAAUUUAUUGGUUUUAUACUUUGUCUUAUAACUCAAUACUACUUUAUUUUGUUGCUCAAAUUGUUCCACCUUUGGCCAUUGGGAGAUCUUUCAGCUGGCUACUGUAUCCAUUUGAUAUUGUAGAUUUUCAUUCAUUUGUUUUGUUCUGUGUUUUAUAUUUUUUUUAGUACUUUCUUACUUGCUGGCACUAUAAGAUGCUGCAGGAUCAUUUUGUAUAUAUCUUACCCCACCCCUGGAACCAGCCAUUUUUCCAAGGAGUCCCAGUUCCUUCCGUUGGAGAAUGAAUGGUACUAGAAACCAGGAUCUGGGUGUUAGAUGUGCUGCUCAUUGCUUUCAGAGUGUUGUUGCUUCCCAGACUUCUCAGCUGACAGAGCAAGGAGAUGGGCAUCCCUUUGCAUGCCUCUGGGCCUUUGCACAUAUCGGUCCUUCUACCCGGAAUACCUUUCCUUCCCCCUUCCUAGCAGAAUGUGUGUCUCCUUUGUGUUCCAAGAGCACUGGGAACGUACUUCUCAGUGUUAUCCAUCACUACAGUGCAACGAUUUCUACAGCAGGCUUUCUCCAGUGCUAGAUUAUGAGUUUCUCAAUGGGAGAGGGCAGGUCUUAUCUAUCUUCCGUAACCCUCAGCCCCCGUGUCCUUUGUGAGGACUGGUUGAGCAAGAUUUAAAAUUAUACAUUCGUGAUUGUCUCUGAGUUCUUAAUAUAUCUGUUUGGAAAAGUAAGAUCCUCAUUCUGUCUCUACCAGAGAAAGUCGGGUUGGCCUUACUUGGGGUGUUUUCAUACAGAUCCAAUUUAUUCUCCUGAAUUUGAGCUUUUAUCUGUUUACCAACUUCUCAUACUUUAGUCUCAGAAUCACCUAGAGAGCUUUUUGAAACACAGAUUGUUGAGUCCCACCUCCAAACUUUCUCAUUUAUCAGGUCUGGAGAGGGGCUUGCGAAUUUGCGUUUCUAAAGAUUUCCAGGCAAUGCUACCAUGAAACCACACUUUGGUCUGUACCAUGUGGUCUUAACUGUGGUCGUUUGGGACUUUUUUAAACACUUAUAAAGAGACUUUGAGGUUUUAGAUUUAUAGAAUUAUUAUGAAGACUUUGAUUAUAAGCCAAAGUAUAAAAUAAAUAUCUGUAAGUCCAAGCCGAUGUAAACAGAUGAUUGAACACAUAGAGAACAGGCAAAUCUCCUGUGCAGAAGAAAUUCAAAUACCUUAUGUAGAUGCUGUUAUUGAUGAGGAAUUGAAAUGGGCCUUAAAAAAUGUCAUUUGAAAGAACCAUGAGAGUCAGAAAAAAAUCUCUGGAAGCCGUCGAAAUGGUUAAAAUCUGUGCAUUGAAAGCAAACGAGAAGGAGGCAGACAGGAGACAGGGUGACAUGGGGGGAGCAUGGGGUUUUCACAGCGGGACCUUUAAACCAGUGUUGCUUGACUUUUAUACCAAGAGGGUGUAUUCACAAAUUUACUGAGUAAUUA